rnacentral:rRNA from 1 species
AGCAGCCGCGGUAAUUCCAGCUCCAAUAGCGUAUAUUAAAGUUGUUGCAGUUAAAAAGCUCGUAGUUGAAUUUCGGGGUUAGUAGGUUGGUCAUGCCUCUGGUAUGUACUGAUCUCACUGAUUCCUCCCUCUUGACGAACUGUAAUGUCAUUAAUUUGGUGUUGCAGGAAAUCAGGACUGUUACUUUGAAAAAAUUAGAGUGUUUAAAGCAGGCUUAGGCUUGAAUACAUUAGCAUGGAAUAAUGAAAUAGGACGUUUGAACCUAUUUUGUUGGUUUCUAGGAUCGACGUAAUGAUUAAUAGGGAUAGUUGGGGGCAUUAGUAUUCAAUUGUCAGAGGUGAAAUUCUUGGAUUUAUUGAAGACUAACUACUGCGAAAGCAUUUGCCAAGGAUGUUUUCAUUAAUCAAGAACGAAAGUUAGGGGAUCGAAGACGAUCAGAUACCGUCGUAGUCUUAACCAUAAACUAUGCCGACUAGGGAUCGGAUGAUGUAAUUUUUAAUGACUC